rnacentral:rRNA from 1 species
UACGUAAGGGGCAAGCGUUGUCCGGAAUCACUGGGCGUAAAGCGCACGUAGGCGGUUUAGCAAGUUGGGGGUGUAAGCUCUAGGCUUAACCUAGAAAUUGCCUCCAAAACUACUUCACUUGAGUAUUAGAGGGGAAGCUGGAAUUCACGGUGUAGCGGUGAAAUGCGUAGAUAUCGUGGAGAACACCCGUGGCGAAGGCGGGCUUCUGGGCUAAUUACUGACGCUGAGGUGGCGAAAAGCUA